UGGCCCACCCUCAUCGGCUUCCCCAUCCCAAAUAGCAGCUCGCACGACGCACAGCUUCUGUUGCCUACCGGCGAAGCCAUUCCCUCUUCACGGGUGUUACGGUGAAACUUGAUAGCAGCGGCGGCCGUCGGCACCGUCGCUCGGCUGUGCUGUCAUUUCGUAUACCUGUUUCGGGCUUUGCGACUUGGGAAGCCAUGUCACAAAACCCGCGGAUGAUUGAGCGCCGCGUGGUGUUCGGCGUGCGCGAGGAUGUCAAGGACGGCGUGCACUACCUUGGAGAGGACUACGUUGUGUGGGUUGCCGGCGAGAGUCUCGUGCUGCUCGAUACACAGCAAGGCACGCAGGAGCUCGUGCAGUGUACACCCGGAUGUGAGGGGGUGACAGCGAUGGCUGUGGCCCCCAGUCGCCGCCUCCUGGCAGUGGCCGAGUCGGGCAAGACUCCAUUCAUCGUCAUUUACCUCUUCGACUCCACCGCUUCCCCACGCAUCAGGCGGCGCUCGGUGCUGCACCUCUCCGACCUCGGCUCCACCGAGUUUGUCUCGCUCUCCUUUUCACAGGACGGCCGCUACCUCGUCGCUCUCGGCGGCUUCCCGGAGUGGAAGUUGGUGUACUGGGACGUGGAGAAGCACAAGAUGCUUGCCCACGACACAGCACUGGAGAGCGCCAUAACGGCCAAGGACAGCCGUCACCUCAAGCAGUGCUCCAUCUCCCCCUACGACGCUUCCCUUGUCUGCGUCACGGGGCAGGGCUGUGUGAAGUUCUUCUCCUACACGGACGGCCACCUGUUCCCCACCAUCGGCGGAGUGGAGGCGCCGGAUGUGCACUACCUGGCCCACACCUGGCUGAUCGAGGAGGAGAGCCGACUCGUCGUGUCCACCGACAACGGGGAUCUACUGCUCUUUGAAAAGCAGCAGUACAAGCACCCCCUUCCGCUGUCCCCGUCUGACGGCAUCGCCAUCACGGCGCUGGCGUCCUACACGAAGGGAUUCGUCUGCGGGGGUGACAUGGGUCUCAUCACGCUGUUCGAGCGGACACUCAGCAAGGAGAUGUAUCGCAAGGUGCGCACGUUCCGCUUCGCCGCCGACGGGCGGUACGGCGCCGUAACGGACUUGACGACGGCAUCCAAGAUCGGCGCUCAGGUGCCGGUCAUUCGCGCCUUCACCUUUACUCCGCCUCCAGCGGAGGAGAUGCUUGCCUUUCUCACGAGCACAAAGCAGAUUUACUCGCUGAAUGUACCGAACGCCGAUUUCACCAAAGCCGAGGACAUGGUGUUUCAGCCGGUCGGGCAGCCUUUCCACACGGGCGGCGUCGUUGCCGUGGACACGUGCGUCCAGCGGCCGCUUGUCGCCACCGCCGGCCGUGACGGCAGCGUGUUUCUGUGGAACAGCAUCACCAACGUGGUGGAGAUGCGCAAUAACUUCCAGGAGGAGAUUGUCAGCAUGGCGAUGCACCCAUCCGGGUUGCACAUGAUCAUCGCCUUCACUGACUCCAUGCGUGUGUUCAACAUAUACGAGAAGGAAUUGUGCGAGUUCAAGCGGCUCAGCAUCCGCAACUGCGCCGCUUGCCGCUUCAGCCACGGCGGGCAGUACUUUGCCAUUGCCAACUCCACCAUCAUCCACGUGCACUACGCGUACACGUGCGAGCUCCUGGGCCACCUGCGCGGGCACAACAGCAAGGUACGAAGCCUCAGCUUCGUGCCGCCGGAUGACACCCGCCUCAUCUCGUCUGGUGCAGACGGUGCCGUCUUCGAGUUUAGCCUGUGUGACUUCCACAAGGUCCGCGACAACGUCACGAAAGCUGUGACGUACCACUGCGCCGCGGCGGAUGUGCAUACUGUCUGGGCUGCUGGAAACGAUCGAAAAAUGCGGCAGAUGGACCGAUCCACGAUGCUGCAGACGAUUGAGUACAACCUGCCCGGCGCAUCGAUGCGGUGCAUGCUGGUCAGUCAGUCGCUGAAGCUCCUUUUUGGCGGCUGCGAGGACGGCACCGUUCGUGUGUUCAACACGUACCUAGGCGAGAAGCUGAACGGACAGGGGGUGGACCGAGGUGGUGGCGGGGUAGGAGGCGGCGGUGACGGCCAUCACGGCAACCCACGCAUCGUGAUGGCGCAACGCGACAUCACGAUCGAGUCGCACGUCACUCACAUUGGUAUCAUCACGGACAUGGCUCUCUCGUACGAUGAGGGCAUGCUCAUUACUGUUGGUGAGGACGGAAUGGUAGUCUUUUGGGACGUUGUAGCCCCGCAUCGUGGCACUGUAAAGCAGAUUGAGCACACGACAGAGCUCCUUGUCGAUCGCCGUGACCUGGACGCUUCCAUGCAGCUCCUGCACAACCUCACCACGCAGGUGAAGGACCUGCAGCAGCGCAUGGCACAGCAGAAGCUGAAGAAGGAGCGGCAGCACGAAGAGCAGAUCGCCCAGCUCGACCGAGACUACCAGAGUGAGAUGCAGAAGCAGAAGGCGGAGAUCGCGGCUCUCCAGGCGGCCAAAGGCGAGCAGGCCAUCCGCUUCACCGAGUUCAUGGCGGAGAUGGAGCAAAAGUUUGCCCAGACACUCAGCCAGACCGAGAAGGACUACCGCUGCAAGAUCGAGUCGCUCAGUAGCCGUGCCGACCAACUGCGCCACCUCCUUGCCGAGGCGGAUACGAAUCACGAAAGAGAGAAGGCGCUCUUGCAGGGUGAGGCCGACACCCAGCGCGUGGCCGACAAGCAGCGGCAGCAGAGGGAGCUCCACGCUCUUGACGAGGAGCAGUACCGCAUUGCGGCCGAGAAGGAGCGCAACGACGCUGAGACGGAGGCGAUGUGCGCCAUGAUUGAAGAGGACAAUGACACCGAGAUCGUGAAGGCAAAGGAAUACUACGAGAAGCGUCUCCGUGAGCAGGAGGAAGAGGCAGCAGCGCUGCAGUCUGCGAACAAUGCUCUCCUCUCCAAACUCAACAUGAGCCGUGCUGAGCUGGAGUCCAAGAUGGCCGAUGUCACCGAGAAGCUGCGGCAGCAAACAGUGUUAGAGUCGCACAUCAACUCAGCCAAGCGCGAUAUCGAGGCCCUCACAAAUGAGGUGCGCGAGCGAGGGGAGACGAUUGCCGAGAAGGAACGCCGCAUCCAAGACCUGCGAACAAAGAACCAGGAGCUGGAAAAGUUCAAGUUCGUGCUCGAGUUCAAGCGCAAGGAGCUCAAGACACAGAUUGAGCCAAAAGACAACGAGAUUAGCGCCUCCAAGUUGAAGCUGGAGCACAUGGAGGCGGAGACGAGCCAGUAUGAGUCCAGCAAUGAGCACCUGGUCUUGCAGAUCAAGAGCCUGCGGCAGAAGCGAGCGGCCCAGCAGAAGGAGCUCGACGGCCUCGCGGCCCGCAUAGCUGAGGCGAAGUCGCUUCAGGGCCGCAUGUGGGCAGAGAUCAGCGAUACCUACAACGAGUAUCAAGCAUCGAAGGACAAAAAGCGACUCAAGUCGAUGGCGAAGGCGCUCUACGAGAACUACACGGAUGGGCGCAGACCAGCCAAUCAGCGUCAGUUUACGUCAGCUCGGACCGCCACCGAUGAGGUGAAGGACUACCACCGGGAGCGCGACCACCUGGAGGGAAACCUUGCAAGCCUAAAGAGGAAGAUCGCCAAGGACGAGGAGAACCAUCGCGUGGAGAAGCAUCGCAUCACCACUGAGAACGUCAUCCUCAUCAAGGAGAUCAACGACCUGCGCAAGGAAGCACGAACGCUGGCUGCAAAGGCCGGCGUGGUGCGUCCCACCGACCCCAACGGCGUCUCUGUGUACGACGAGCAGUACGCGCGUGAGGUCAGUGUGCAACAGGCUGAGAUGGUGCGGCUGCGCGCGAUUGUUGAGCAGCUAGAGGCCCAGCUGAAGGCGAAGGGGCUCCCGCUACCCGUCACCGACGCCUAGCAUUUGUGGUGAUGAUUGAGGAUGCACACACAGCUUACCAACGCACUCCCUUCUCUUGCUCCCGCGCACCUCUUUUUCUUAGUAGCUGGGCUAUUACAACUCGGCAUCGUCGCUGAUCGACCCUACGCUUGUUCUUCAUCUCUGUCCCUCUCUGCGCUGCGAAAGCGUGCGCCUCUGUGUGUGGGUGCCAAGGAGCCGCUGCUGGUGGUGGUGGUGGUGACGGCGCGUUCGGCGAGGCUGAAGACUUCUUGCGCACUCUUUCUCGAGUCCUGCUCGCCGCCGCUUGUCUGCUUUUGUAUGCGAGCAACAUCUCACCCCUUUGGGUGUGCGUGUGCGUUGUCGUCUUCCACACGCGCUCACGAUCAUGCAAAAAGGGGGCGUCGGGGAAGGUGGGGGGGAGGGGAGGCAAAGAAUUAAUGACGAAAGGGACUCGUAUACGCGUGUGUGCUCACGCGCAUGCGCACCCCUCUCCCUCCCUUCCGCGGCCUAUUGCUUUUUUUUUUUGGUGAGGCUGAAGGAAUGAUGUACAGCGCCUGAAGCCUGCCGAUGCGUUUGUGCACUUCAUCUAUGUAACGUUACGGUAUGUUGCAACCACCCAUCGCUUCCAGUGCUACCGUCUUGC
rnacentral:misc_RNA from 1 species